UUUCCGUAGGUGAACCUGCGGAAGGAUCAUUAAUGAGUUGUCAUGGGGUUCGAUGCUGGCAGCCAGUUUUUGGAUGCAUGUGCUUGCCCUAACAAUCAUCUUCUUCCAAACACCUGUGCACAUUUUUGAGGGAGUCUUGAGUUGGUUGCCGCUCUUGGGUGAUUUUCUCACAUUCCCUUAAAUCAUUAUACGCUAUUAACAAUGUUGAACGUGCUCUGUGCCGCAAGGUCAUUAAUAUAAUACAACUUUUAACAACGGAUCUCUUGGCUCUC
rnacentral:misc_RNA from 1 species